rnacentral:piRNA from 1 species
UUAUCACACACGUUACAGGUCGCUC